rnacentral:rRNA from 1 species
AUUGAACGCUGGCGGCAGGCCUAACACAUGCCAGUCGAGCGGAUGAAGGGAGCUUGCUCCUGGAUUCAGCGGCGGACGGGUGAGUAAUGCCUAGGAAUCUGCCUGGUAGUGGGGGAUAACGUCCGGAAACGGGCGCUAAUACCGCAUACGUCCUGAGGGAGAAAGUGGGGGAUCUUCGGACCUCACGCUAUCAGAUGAGCCUAGGUCGGAUUAGCUAGUUGGUGGGGUAAAGGCCUACCAAGGCGACGAUCCGUAACUGGUCUGAGAGGAUGAUCAGUCACACUGGAACUGAGACACGGUCCAGACACCUACGGGAGGCAGCAGUGGGGAAUAUUGGACAAUGGGCGAAAGCCUGAUCCAGCCAUGCCGCGUGUGUGAAGAAGGUCUUCGGAUUGUAAAGCACUUUAAGUUGGGAGGAAGGGCAGUAAGUUAAUACCUUGCUGUUUUGACGUUACCAACAGAAUAAGCACCGGCUAACUUCGUG